rnacentral:rRNA from 1 species
CCUACGGGAGGCAGCAGUAGGGAAUAUUGGGCAAUGGACGAGAGUCUGACCCAGCCAUGCCGCGUGCAGGAAGAAGGCUUUCUGAGUCGUAAACUGCUUUUGACAGGGAAGAAUAAGCACUACGUGUAGUGUGAUGACGGUACCUGCAGAAUAAGCACCGGCUAACUCCGUGCCAGCAGCCGCGGUAAUACGGAGGGUGCGAGCGUUGUCCGGAUUUAUUGGGUUUAAAGGGUGCGUAGGCGGCCUUUUAAGUCCGGGGUGAAAGCCCGUUGCUUAACAACGGAACUGCCCUGGAUACUGAGAGGCUUGAGUACAGACGAGGUUGGCGGAAUGGACCGAGUAGCGGUGAAAUGCAUAGAUACGGUCCAGAACCCCGAUUGCGAAGGCAGCUGACUAGGCUGUUACUGACGCUGAGGCACGACAGCGUGGGGAGCGAACAGGAUUAGAUACCCUGGUAGUCCACGCCGUAAACGAUGGAUACUCGCUGCGNGCUAAGAUGUCGUGCGUAGGUAACGAGUAGUAUCCGACCGUGGGAGGACGCCGGCGACGUAGUUAACGUUAAAGUAAGUUAGUUACGGCGUUGAGACGNGCCGACGGACGACGACGAGGGAGGAGG